GAAACAGUUAAUUAGGUGGAGCCAAAGAGCUCUGGGCGGUGAGCAAGCCUCCUACUUUCCUGUCCCCUGCACCCACCUUUUAAACACGUAUUCUGUCUCUUUCUAACUCCUUUGUCUCCUCUGGACUCCGGGUUCCUGCCGGGUGGUGUAGGGCUGGUUUCCCCAACAUCUGGUGCCGAAUGCAGGGCUCCCCGUAAUCUCUACAAAUAAUCUGGUGAAGGAACGCCAGAGCGUGGAAAGUGGAGGAGGACUGAGGAAGGAAGCCUGAGUACGUUUUCACUUCAAGCUCUACGGGAGGAUUGAGUACUCCAGGGGGAGUGAAUGUGAUGGGUUAUGCCUAAGGCUGAAUGAAAGCUGCUGGGUUGCUUUAGCUGUGAAAGUGGUCCAUUAUCACUCUUCAGACUUUCAGGUCCAGGCCACAGAUGAAAUUGUGCCAUACCUGGAACAAGCACUAAACCAAGUAUAACACCUUCCUUGGCUAUGCCUACAAAAUGGCACUUUUAUAUAUCCCUGGGACCAUCAUCCCGAUGAGGUGAAUUAUCCCCCUGAAACCUGCCUACAAAGAGAAUUGGGUCUUAUAUCUAGAUCCAUCAUCUGACUCUUUUCGUUUUCCUGCAGAGAUAUUGCUGGAGCAUGACAUAUAAGAUUCAUUUCAAAAAGUGAAUCUGAGAAAAUAUAGAAGCUGUGACCUUAAUAGUUUACAUUAAAAAAAAAAAGACUACCAAAGUGUGGAUAAUUGCAAGGGGCAGAAGAGCAGUUAUAAUGGCCUUCAUCAAUGUUUGUCAACUACCCAUAGCAAAACCUGUCAAUGAAAUAAAUGUGGCAAAGCUUUUGAGUUGUGCUCAGUCUUUACUGAACAUAAGAAAAUUUUCAGCAUAGAGAAAUGCUACAAAUGUGAAGAAUGUGGCAAAGACUGUAGGUUGUUCUCAGAUAUUACUAUACAGAAGUGAAUUCAUACUGCAGAGAGAUGCUACAGACAUCAACAAUGUGGCAAAGCCUGAAAAUAUCUCAAAUGUUACUGAAUAUAAGAGAGCUCAUGCUGGGAUAUCUAACAAAUGCAAUGAAUGUGGCAAAACAUUUACCUGCUCCUCAACCUUUAUUAAACAAAGAGAAAUCAUACUGGAGACAAACCCUACAUAUGCGAAGAAUGUGGCAAAGCCUUUAAGUGCUUCUCUGACCUUACUAAUCAAAAGAGAAAUUAUACUGGAGGGAAAUCUUGCAAAUGUGAGGAAUGUAGCCUAUAGGUUGUUCUCAGAACUUGCUAAAUAUAAGAUAAUUCACACCGGGGAGAAACUCUACAAACGUGAAGAAUGUGAUGAAGACUAUAGUUGCUUCUCAGACCUUACUAAACAUGAUAAUUCAUAGUGGAGAGAAACCUUACAAAUGUAUUGAAUAUAAUAAAAGCUUUUAUGUGGUUCUCAGCCCUUAGUAAACACAAGUGUACAUCUGUGAAGAACAUAACCAUACAUCUGUGAAGAAUGUGGAACUGCCUUUACCUGCUUCUUCACCCUUAUUAACCACAAGAGAAUUAAUAUGGAAAAGAGACCUUCUGAAUGUGGAGAAUGUGGCAAAACCUUUAAGUGCUUCUCAGACAUUACUAAUCAUUAGAUAAUUCACACUGGAGAAAAACCCUACAAAUGUGAAAAAUGUGGCACAGCAUUGAGUUUUUCUCACACCUCAUUAGAGAAAAGAGAAUUCAUACUAGAGAGUAGAUUUACAAUUGUUAAAAAUGUGGAAAGUCUUUAACAAGUUCUCAUACUGUGUUCAACAUCAGAGUCUUCAUACCGAACAAAUGCAGUAUAAAGGUAAUGACUGUUAAUUCCAUGGCAGAAGGCCCAAACCAGAGAACUGGCCAGACAGUUCUGUUGCACCUAAGCAGCAUGUGCACUUUUCCAAGCACAUCUCAUUCCCUUCCUGACUCCAAUUAUUUCAACAGCACCUUCUCAUUUGCACCAGCCCAUUUUUGAGCCCCAACAAACUAUGAUUUUGAAAUACCUCUGAAGACCGCAUGAGCUAACCACUAAGGGUGACAGUGCUCUAGCCUACUCAAUUUCACCUGAGGGCAGAAACAAGGCAGGAGAGUCUUGUCACCUGGAUUCGGUGCUUAGGAUACUUUACAAUCUUCUUUGGAUGCAUGGCCAAGUCAGAAGGGUAACAUCAUCUGGGGACAGACUCAAGUAAUAUGGCACCACGUCUAUGGUAGAAAAGGUUGAAGAAAAACAGGAGAAUCACAUCACCUAGGUGUUGGGCUUAGCAAUAUGAAAUAAUCCCCUCUUUUGGCCAACUCCAGAAUAAAGAAGUGUGUU
rnacentral:lncRNA from 1 species